rnacentral:rRNA from 1 species
UACGGGGGGAGCAAGCGUUGUUCGGAUUUACUGGGCGUAAAGGGCGCGUAGGCGGCCAGCACAAGUCAGUUGUGAAAUCUCCGAGCUUAACUCGGAAUGGUCAACUGAUACUGUGCGGCUAGAGUGCGGAAGGGGCAACUGGAAUUCUUGGUGUAGCGGUGAAAUGCGCAGAUAUCAGGAGGAACACCGGUGGCGAAGGCGGGUCUCUGGGCCGAAAUUGACGCUGAGGAGCGAAAGCGUGGGGAGCAAACAGG